rnacentral:tRNA from 1 species
GGUGAUAUGGCUCAGUGGUAGAGAGCAUCUGCCUAGCAAUCAUAAGGGCCUGAGUUCAAACCUCAGUAACACAC